rnacentral:rRNA from 1 species
AGAAAACAAGCAAAUAAGUUAAAACUUUCAACAACGGAUCUCUUGGUUCUGGCAUCGAUGAAGAACGCAGCGAAAUGCGAUAAGUAAUGUGAAUUGCAGAAUUCAGUGAAUCAUCGAAUCUUUGAACGCACAUUGCGCCCGCUAGUAUUCUAGCGGGCAUGCCUGUUCGAGCGUCAUUUCAACCCUCAAGCCCUGCUUGGUGUUGGGGCCCUACGGCUGCCGUAGGCCCUGAAAACUAGUGGCGGGCUCGCUAUAACUCCGAGCGUAGUAGUAAAAUAUCUCGCUAGGGAGGUGUCGCGGGUUCCGGCCGUGAAAGCCCCAUCUUUUACACAAGGUUGACCUCGGAUCAGGUAGGAAUACCCGCUGAACUUAAGCAUAUCAAUAAGCGGAGGAAAAGAAACCAACAGGGAUUGCCCCAGUAACGGCGAGUGAAGCGGCAACAGCUCAAAUUUGAAAUCUGGCCUCGGCCCGAGUUGUAAUUUGUAGAGGAUGCUUUUGGUGAGGUGCCUUGUGAGUUCCCUGGAACGGGACGCCAGAGAGGGUGAGAGCCCCGUAUACUUGGACACCGAGCCUCUGUAAAGCUCCUUCGACGAGUCGAGUAGUUUGGGAAUGCUGCUCAAAAUGGGAGGUAUAUCUCUUCUAAAGCUAAAUAUUGGCCAGAGACCGAUAGCGCACAAGUAGAGUGAUCGAAAGAUGAAAAGCACUUUGAAAAGAGGGUUAAAUAGUACGUGAAAUUGUUGAAAGGGAAGCGCUUGUGACCAGACUUGUGCCGGGCUGAUCAUCCAGUGUUCUCA